rnacentral:lncRNA from 1 species
UGGCAUACGAGUAGAUGGACCUCCAGGUUGUAGCUUUUCCAUAAUAAUAUUGCGAGUCAAGCCUACCAAAUUGUCCCUUCUCAUUCUUUCACUUGCAGACACACCAGUAGUUAUCAGGUCCAUGUCAAUGUUACCAGUGGCAUGAUCUGUUGCAGACUGCUGUAGUGCAACUUCUAGAAGCCUAAAAGCCUCCACCACAUCAUCUUUCCCAACAGAAUUUGAAAAGCGAAUUCGGGCCAGGGCCUCACUGAGGCGUAUAAGACUUUCAAUUUGUCU